rnacentral:rRNA from 1 species
GGUCAAGUGACUAAGCGUAUACGGUGGAUGCCUUGGCAGUCAGAGGCGAUGAAGGACGUAGUAGCCUGCGAAAAGCUUCGGGGAGGUGGCAAACAACCUUUGAUCCGGAGAUGUCCGAAUGGGGAAACCCACCCAGUGUAAGCUGGGUAUCCUUAACUGAAUUCAUAGGUUAAGGAGGCGAACGCGGAGAACUGAAACAUCUAAGUACCCGUAGGAAUAGAAAUCAAUUGAGAUUCCCCCAGUAGCGGCGAGCGACCGGGGAACAGCCUGCAAGUGAUAGCAGCUGGGUUAGUGGAACACUCUGGAAAGGGUGGCGAUAGAGGGUGAUAGCCCCGUACACGAAAGCCUGGUUGUGGUACUGAGCUUGCGACAAGUAGGUCGGGACACGUGUUAUCCUGACUGAACAUGGGGGGACCAUCCUCCAAGGCUAAAUACUCCUGACUGACCGAUAGUGAACCAGUACCGUGAGGGAAAGGCGAAAAGAACCCCGGAGAGGGGAGUGAAAUAGAACCUGAAACCGUAUACGUACAAGCAGUGGGAGCACCUUCGUGGUGUGACUGCGUACCUUUUGUAUAAUGGGUCAGCGACUUAUUGUCUGUAGCGAGCUUAACCGUUUAGGGGAGGCGUAGGGAAACCGAGUCUUAAUAGGGCGACUUAGUUGCAGGCAAUAGACCCGAAACCGGGCGAUCUAGCCAUGGCCAGGUUGAAGGUGCCGUAACAGGCACUGGAGGACCGAACCCACUUAUGUUGAAAAAUGAGGGGAUGAGCUGUGGCUCGGAGUGAAAGGCUAAUCAAGCCCGGAGAUAGCUGGUUCUCCUCGAAAUCUAUUUAGGUAGAGCGUCGUGUCUUACCCUGGGGGGUAGAGCACUGUUUCGGCUAGGGGGUCAUCCCGACUUACCAACCCGAUGCAAACUCCGAAUACCCAGGAGUACAAUCACGGCAGACAGACAGCGGGUGCUAACGUCCGUUGUCGAGAGGGCAACAACCCAGACCGCCAGCUAAGGUCCCUAAUACCAGUUAAGUGGGAAACGAUGUGGGAAGGCUUAGACAGCUAGGAGGUUGGCUUAGAAGCAGCCACCCUUUAAAGAAAGCGUAAUAGCUCACUAGUCGAGUCGGCCUGCGCGGAAGAUAUAACGGGGCUAAAUUGGUAACCGAAGCUGCGGAUGCACACGCACCUCUAAACGCUAUUUGUUCACGCUUGUCGUUGACUGCCGAAGGCAGGUGACGACCAAGCGCCUCCGAACGUGGAGUUGGCCUGCUGGUCAAUAUCACUCGGAUAGAAUAGUAAAAGUAGCGUUUAGUGGUGUGUGUGCAUGGUAGAGGAGCGUUCUGUAAGCCUGUGAAGGUGUACCGGGAGGUAUGCUGGAGGUAUCAGAAGUGCGAAUGCUGACAUGAGUAACGAUAAGGGGGGUGAAAAACCUCCCCGCCGGAAGAUCAAGGUUUCCUGUCCAACGCUAAUCGGGACAGGGUGAGUCGGCCCCUAAGGCGAGGCAGAAAUGCGUAGUCGAUGGGAAGCGGGUUAAUAUUCCCGCACUUCUUAUUAUUGCGAUGGAGGGACGGAGAAGGCUAGGCCGGCGCGGUGUUGGUUGUCCGCGUUUAAGGUUGUAGGCUGGGGUUUUAGGUAAAUCCGGAACCCUAAGGCUGAGAACUUAUGACGAUCCCCUGGGGAGACCCUCGGGAGAAGUGGUUGAUGCCAUGCUUCCAAGAAAAGCUUCUAAGCAUAGAUAGUAAGGAACCGUACUGUAAACCGACACAGGUGAUCAGGUAGAGAAUACCAAGGCGCUUGAGAGAACUCGGGUGAAGGAACUAGGCAAAAUGGUACCGUAACUUCGGGAGAAGGUACGCCGACUUUGGUGAUGGGACUUGCUCCCUAAGCUGAGGUUGGUCGAAGUGACCAGGUGGCUGCGACUGUUUACUAAAAACAUAGCACUCUGCAAACACGAAAGUGGACGUAUAGGGUGUGACGCCUGCCCGGUGCCGGAAGGUUAAUUGAUGGGGUUAUCUUCGGAGAAGCUCUUGAUCGAAGCCCCGGUAAACGGCGGCCGUAACUAUAACGGUCCUAAGGUAGCGAAAUUCCUUGUCGGGUAAGUUCCGACCUGCACGAAUGGCGUAACGAUGGCCACACUGUCUCCACCCGAGACUCAGUGAAAUUGAAAUCGCUGUUAAGAUGCAGUGUACCCGCGGCUAGACGGAAAGACCCCGUGAACCUUUACUAUAGCUUCACACUGGACUUUGACCUUAUUUGUGUAGGAUAGCUGGGAGACUUUGAAGCGUGCGCGCCAGCGUACGUGGAGUCGUCCUUGAAAUACCAGCCUGGUAAUGUUGAGGUUCUAACCUAGGUCCCUUAUCGGGAUCGGGAACAGUGUGUGGUGGGUAGUUUGACUGGGGCGGUCUCCUCCCAAAGAGUAACGGAGGAGCACGAAGGUGCGCUAAUCAUGGUCGGAAAUCAUGAGGUUAGUGUAAAGGCACAAGCGCGCUUGACUGCGAGUCUGACAAGACGAGCAGGUACGAAAGUAGGUCUUAGUGAUCCGGCGGUUCUGAAUGGAAGGGCCGUCGCUCAACGGAUAAAAGGUACUCCGGGGAUAACAGGCUGAUACCGCCCAAGAGUUCACAUCGACGGCGGUGUUUGGCACCUCGAUGUCGGCUCAUCACAUCCUGGGGCUGAAGCCGGUCCCAAGGGUAUGGCUGUUCGCCAUUUAAAGUGGUACGCGAGCUGGGUUUAGAACGUCGUGAGACAGUUCGGUCCCUAUCUGCCGUGGGCGUUGGAGAAUUGAGGGAAGCUGCUCCUAGUACGAGAGGACCGGAGUGGACGAACCUCUGGUGUUCGGGUUGUGUCGCCAGACGCAUUGCCCGGUAGCUACGUUCGGACAGGAUAACCGCUGAAAGCAUCUAAGCGGGAAGCCUCUCCCAAGAUUAAUUCUCCCUGACCCCUUGAGGGUCCUGAAGGGCCGUAGAAGACUACUACGUUGAUAGGCUGGGUGUGUAAGCGCUGUGAGGCGUUGAGCUAACCAGUACUAAUUGCCCGUGAGGCUUGACCAU